rnacentral:rRNA from 1 species
UACGUAGGGGGCAAGCGUUAUCCGGAUUUACUGGGUGUAAAGGGAGCGUAGACGGCGAUGCAAGUCUGAAGUGAAAGGCGGGGGCCCAACCCCCGGACUGCUUUGGAAACUGUAUGGCUGGAGUGCAGGAGAGGUAAGUGGAAUUCCUAGUGCAGCGGUGAAAUGCGUAGAUAUUAGGAGGAACACCAGUGGCGAAGGCGGCUUACUGGACUGUAACUGACGUUGAGGCUCGAAAGCGUGGGGAGCAAACAGG